CCAACCGUCUCGCUCUCAGAGACGUGGAAACUGUCCCUCACUGUUUGCUCUGAUGAUUAAUCAUGUAAAUGAUCCUUUUGGAGACACGUCCACAGGCUGUGAGCUUAGAGAAUAAGAGGGAGGAGAAGAUCCACCUGGCCAUCAGACUACAGGAGGAACCGUGGUGAGUAGCAGCUUCUCUCUGUUUCAGGACGAUUCAUCAAAUGCUGAAUCCGUCACAGGGACGUUUGAGGGACUUCUGUCCUCGUUUUAAUGGAGUUUGUGCUCAACAAAACUAUGAAAACAGACGUUGAUGUUGUUAUUUUAGGGCUUUGGAGCUUAACGGGUUUGUUAAAGUGUUGAAACAACAUGGUGGUUCUUUACUCCCCACAGAACCACCAUGUUGCUUCAACAUCCCCAGAGUUUGGUCACGUUCAUAUUUACUUCUAUUUAUAGUGUACAUAGUUGGUAAAUGUUGGUACUCUUCUUGUUGUCAUUGUGUUAUUUUUUAUAUUUGCCUUGUUUGUAGUUUAUUAUUUGUAGAAGUUUCAUUAAUCCGGAAUCAUGCGUCCAGCUGUGCUAACCGCUGUCCUGCUCUCGGUGCUCUUCAUCAACGCCGUGACGUCACUGAACCUCGUUUAUUAUUUGUAGAAGUUUCAUUAAUCCGGAAUCAUGCGUCCAGCUGUGCUAACCGCUGUCCUGCUCUCGGUGCUCUUCAUCAACGCCGUGACGUCACUGAACCUCGGUGAGUACAACCCUAGUGUGAAGAAGUAGUGAACCCUGAAACACACGCAACGUGCUGUUCCUCACACACAUGACACACGUCAUACAUGUAGCACGUGCUCUGAUGACGCUGUUCUCUCUCUCAGGCAAUCUGCCGCUGCGUGAAGAGCGAGCUCUCUUCGAUGCGCCACCAGAUGUUGCGGUUCCGGUGGCUCCCGCUCCACUGAACAUGCGGGCUUCCCGAGCCGCCGACCCGAACCAGAGAAACAUUCACAAAGUUGGAGAUGAUUCUCAAUUACUCUGCAAAGGAACAGUUUGCAAUGGGUAAUGAUAAUUAGACGGGGGGGGGGGGAGCUUUGUUUGAUCAUCAUCUGCUGAUGUGUUCCUUCUCUCUGUAAAGCUGCUCCGUGUUUCUAUAACCCGCCAACACGAGCUCCAAUAAACGCUUCAGCAUUCAAGCUCCUGGUGUCACUUUGUUGGGCAAUGAGGGGUCGAUGUUCACGCUGUAGAUUAAAGCACUAGAUGAUCCGUAGAUUUCGAGCCCGACACACGCGGCUCAGCGGGGGUCCCAUCGGGUCGAGUUCAGCACCACGGACAGCGACUACGGGACCUCAUUCAUUCCUCCUGUAGGACCUGAAUGGCUUUGAUGG
ensembl:lncRNA